rnacentral:rRNA from 1 species
CAAGUCGAACGGCAGCGCGGGGGCUUCGGUCUCUGGCGGCGAGUGGCGGACGGGUGAGUAAUAUAUGGGAACGCGCCCGGCGGCGGGGGAUAACUCUGGGAAACCAGAGCUAAUACCGCAUGCGUUUCGCCUUUCGGGGCGAAAGAAAGCGGGGGACUUCUUCGGAGGCCUCGCACCGGCGGAGCGGCCCAUAUCCGAUUAGCUUGUUGGCGGGGUAACAGCCCACCAAGGCCGCGAUCGGUAGCUGGUCUGAGAGGACGGACAGCCACACCGGGACUGAGACACGGCCCGGACUCCUACGGGAGGCAGCAGUGGGGAAUAUUGGACAAUGGGGGCAACCCUGAUCCAGCAAUGCCGCGUGUGUGAAGAAGGCCUUCGGGUUGUAAAGCACUUUCGCGGGGGAAGAAAAAGCGAGGGGUAAUAUCUCUCGCGCCUGACGGUACCCCGAGAAGAAGCACCGGCUAACUACGUGCCAGCAGCCGCGGUAAUACGUAGGGUGCGAGCGUUAAUCGGAAUUACUGGGCGUAAAGCGUGCGCAGGCGGCCUGUCAAGUCGGGUGUGAAAUCCCCGGGCUCAACCCGGGAAUUGCGCUUGAAACCGGCGGGCUAGAGUACGGCAGAGGAAGGUGGAAUUCCGUGUGUAGCGGUGAAAUGCGUAGAUAUACGGAAGAACACUCAUGGCGAAGGCAUCCUUCU